GACGUAGGGUCCGAGCGUUGUUCGGAUUCAUUGGGCGUAAAGGGUGCGUAGGCGGCGCGGUAAGUCGGGUGUGAAAUCUCGGAGCUUAACUCCGAAACUGCAUUCGAUACUGCCGUGCUUGAGGACUGGAGAGGAGACUGGAAUUUACGGUGUAGCGGUGAAAUGCGUAGAUAUCGUAAGGAAGACCAGUGGCGAAGGCGGGUCUCUGGACAGUUCCUGACGCUGAGGCACGAAGGUCAGGGGAGCAAACGGG
rnacentral:rRNA from 1 species